UAGAGUUUGACUCCUGGCUCAGGACAACGCUGGCGGCGUGCUUAACACAUGCAAGUCGAACGGAAAGGCCUCUGCUUGCAGGGGUGCUCGAGUGGCGAACGGGUGAGUAACACGUGGGUGAUCUGCCUUGUACUCUGGGAUAAGCUUGGGAAACUGGGUCUAAUACCGGAUAGGAACUGCCUUUAGUGUGGUGGUUGGAAAGUUUUUUCGGUGCAAGAUGAGCUCGCGGCCUAUCAGCUUGUUGUGGGGUAAUGGCCUACCAAGGCGUCGACGGGUAGCCGGCCUGAGAGGGUGUACGGCCACAUUGGGACUGAGAUACGGCCCAGACUCCUACGGGAGGCAGCAGUGGGGAAUAUUGCACAAUGGGCGGAAGCCUGAUGCAGCGACGCCGCGCGGGGGAUGACGGCCUUCGGGUUGUAAACUCCUUUCGACAGGGACGAAGCGCAAGUGACGGUACCUGUAUAAGAAGCACCGGCUAACUACGUG
rnacentral:rRNA from 1 species